rnacentral:lncRNA from 11 species
CAUGCAUCUCUCUAUGAAAGCAGUUAGAGAAGAACAGGAAUCUCGACUGCAGCAGGCAUGCGGUAGAGCUGGCGUGAUCAGAACACUAACAGGGCCAGGCUGAGUGAUUACAUGUUUCUGUAAGUGUGUUAGCUCCAUGGGGAGCUGAGUCCAUUUGGAGACAAGGAGGAGAAAUACCCCCCCUCCUUUCAUUAAGGUGAAAAGGGUCAACGCAUACCUCAGUUGUCAUUCAAACAUAAUAAAGGUAAAUGUUGCUCUCGGGUGCCUGCUCUCCCAGCUUUUUUGCUCUGUCAUUGCUCAUGUCUGGAUUAUGCAGACGCUUGCGUUCUAAACAGGGAAGCACGUUGCUUUGGGGAAAGAGAAGACAUUUGUUUUGCAAGCGGCUGCAAGUGUUGCCGGUGGAUGCUUUGCCCUUGAAAGAGGGCCAAGAGGAUCUGCCUGAAUCCAAGGGAGGAUUUAUAUGCAAGAGGACAAGACGAUGGCUGCACAGCGAGCCCCCGAGUCGGCUCUGAGCUUGUUGAUGAUUUGUGAUGAAAGAAGAACCGAAGAGGAGGACGAAGAAAAGGAGGGCACCAUGUCAUGGAACCCAGUUACAGGGCUUUGGUAAUUCAGCCCUGUAACUGGGAGUCAUAACAUAAACAAUCCCAGAAGCACCUGGCAGAAGAAGAUAGAAUAUGCCUGGGAACUUGGGGCCGAAAGUAUAAACAAUUAUAAUUGGUCUAGCGUGUGAAAAUGGUAGUAAUGUGAUAUUGGGGGUGGGACUUGAUGAUGAUAUUUACGUGUGGUGUUACGUAGCAUCAAAAGUUAUAAAAAUAGUUGUAUGUAAACAUUGGGUCAUUCCUGACUUUUCCAAAGUCAUGUGUUCUUCAAUAAAGAUUGGAUUUGAGAGCAGCCAUCUCUGAUCUGCGUUCAGACUGAUCCUUUGAAGUGAGCAGGACACUGCUGCACUAGACUUUCUAUGUGAAACGUGAC